rnacentral:miRNA from 1 species
CUCUCCCAAUUGUUGUCAUGUG